rnacentral:misc_RNA from 1 species
UUUUUGGAUGUGUAUUGAAAGCUGAAGCGGUAGAGGGGCGUUUCAAAACAGAUAAUCUGGACAUUUUUCAUAUUAGUGGAGGAACAUAGUUUGAGCAUAAAGAUCACUUCGGAGAUGAACCACCCCCGCCGUACCAACCCAGCCCGGGGAACGGAAACCCCCCUUACUACCCCCCGCCAAAGUACACCGACCAGCCACGCAUCACUUCGGAACAAAGUUUUACAAAUCCAUCCAUUGUUGCCCCCGGGCCAGUGAGGAUGAACGAGCCCCCACCUCCCCCUGACUACAUGAACAGAGCUAUUUUUGUGACCAUGUGCUGUUUCUGGCCAACAGGAAAUUUUGCUAUCAUGAAAGCCAGUGAGUCACGCAGUGCCAUUGCUAGAGGAGACAUGGAAUCAGCCCGGAGCCAUUCCAGCACUGCCCGGCAGCUGUCCAAUAUCUCCGUGAUAGCUGGGGUGGCCUUUUUGCUGGUGGGCAUGCUGAUUGCGGGUCUGUACUGGUUCUUUGGAGUGAUUCCGAACAUGUCAUCCGGCCCCCAGGAAUAUUAAGACUGAUCGGUGCCAUAUUGGAAAUCUGUCGAGAAACCAAACAAUGCAAAAAUGAUUUACUUUUUAAUAGGUUGUUCCUAACCUUUAAACUUGUUUAUGUUUCUGCUGCUCGUAAUUUUGCACUAUUGGCUGCGAUAGUUCAUUAGUUUUCCUUUCAGUAUAUAAGUGCUUAAUAUUUACUUAAUACUAACAGAAAUACAUUGGAAUUUCUAUUAAUCUAAUCUUUACACUAAUGGUAUUUAUUUUAAAUUAAAUUCAUGCACAUUUUAUCGGUAUUUCACGGUCAUUAUUUUAUGGUCAGUAUUAUUCUUAUUCCAGUAAUACAAUCUUAAUACCUUUGAUAGUGCAUACGUACUUAGACUAAAUUAAUCGUUACUGUCUUUCAGUAUAACAGCUUUUUCAAAGAUCAGAAUUCAGUUUAUGAUUAACACCAGAACUUUAGCAUCACUAACUUAGCACCAGAACUAUAGCAUUGCUAAUGUAGCAUCAGAACUAUAGCAUUUCUAAUGUAGCUUCAACGACAUUUUUGUUAUACGUCCUAAUUUGUCUACCCAGCACCAUAUUUCAUUGUUAUUUGCUUAUGUCCUACAAAGCUCCACCAACUUUACUCAGGGAAUUAACAUUUUGUUUUGACAAUAUUUAUGUAUGAUUUGUAUAAUGUUUAUUUUAGUUUUAUUAUGAAAUACUGAUACGCUAUUACAAUGUAACAUGUAUUUUUAUCAUAGGGCAGUAUGUUAAAUUUCUGAAGUUUAAAUUUAAUGUUUGAUUAAUUCAUUUAUGCAGUGUCAUUUUGUUUAUCGUAUUUUAUUACAUGGAGUUCAGUUACAAUUUGAGAUACAUGUAUCUAAAUUAUUAUUUUUCUCUAACACACAUGUACUAAUUGUGUGAAUUACUGCAAACAUGUUUUUCAUAAUAAAACUCUUGAGAAGAGGUCUUCGU